CUCGUAGGUGGUUCGUCACGUCGGAUGUGAAACUCUGGGGCUUAACCCCAGACCUGCAUUCGAUACGGGCGAGCUUGAGUAUGGUAGGGGAGUCUGGAAUUCCUGGUGUAGCGGUGGAAUGCGCAGAUAUCAGGAGGAACACCAAUGGCGAAGGCAGGACUCUGGGCCAUUACUGACACUGAGGAGCGAAGCGUGGGAGCGACA
rnacentral:rRNA from 1 species